rnacentral:rRNA from 1 species
AUUGAACGCUAGCGGGAUGCUUAACACAUGCAAGUCGAACGAGUGGCGGACGGGUGAGUAAUAUCUCGGAACGUGCCCAGUAGCGGGGGAUAACUACUCGAAACAGUGGCUAAUACCGCAUACUAUUGGAGCGGCCGAUAUUGGAUUAGCUAGUUGGUGGGGUAAAGGCUCACCAAGGCAACGAUCCGUAGCUGGUGUGAGAGGACGACCAGCCACACUGGGACUGAGACACGGUCCAGACUCCUACGGGAGGCAGCAGUGGGGAAUAUUGCACAAUGGGCGCAAGCCUGAUGCAGCCAUGCCGCGUGUAUGAAGAAGGCCUUAGGGUUGUAAAGUACUUUCAGUCGGGAGGCGUUACCGACAGAAGAAGCACCGGCUAACUCCGUGCCAGCAGCCGCGGUAAUAC